rnacentral:lncRNA from 1 species
AUUCGAGUUUCCCAGUUUGGGAAUAACACAGCUUCUUCGUCGUUCCAAUCAAACCAGGAUGAAUCACUUUGUGAAAAGCUUGAUUUGGAUACACAAAGUGGUGGAGAAUCACCAGGAAGUUGAAUAAAUCUCAUAGGAGUUGGCAUGAAGAAGUUAUCCCACUUUCAAAUCGGGUGAUUCCAGUUUCCCAGUUCGGGAAUAGCACAGCUUCUUCUUCGUUCCAAUCAAACCAGGAUGAAUCAAUUUGUGAAAAGCUUGAUUUGGAUACAUAAACUGGUGGAGAAUCACCUGGAAGUUGAAUAAAUCUCAUAGGAGUUGGCUUGAAGAAUUUAUCCCACUUUCAAAUCAGGUGAUUCUAGUUUCUCAGUUUGGGAAUAGCACAGCUUCUUCGUCGUUCCAAUCAAACCAGGAUGAAUCACUUUGUAAGAAGCUUGAUUUGGAUACAUAAAGUGGUGGAGAAUCACCAGGAAGUUGAAUAAAUCUCAUAGAAGUUGGCAUGAAGAAUUUAUCCCACUUUCAAAUUAGGUGAUUCCAGUUUCCCAGUUUGGGAAUAGGACAGCUUGUUCGUCGUUCCAAUCAAGCCCGGAUGAAUCACUUGGUGAGAAGCUUGAUUUGGAUACAUAAAGUGGUGUAGAAUCACCAGGAAGUUGAAUAAAUCUCAUAGGAGUGGGGAUAAAGAAGUUAUCCCACUUUCAAAUAAGGUGAUUCAUGUUUCCCACUUUGGGAAUAGGAUAGCUUUUUCGUCGUUCAAAUCAAACCAGGAUGAAUCACCUUGUAAGAAGCUUGAUUUGGAUACAUAAAGUUGUGGAGAAUCAUCAGGAAGUUGAAUAAAUCUCAUAGGAGUUGGCAAGAAGAAGUUAUCCCACUUUCAAAUCAGGUGAUUCCAGUUUCCCAGUUUGGGAAUAGCACAGCUUCUUCGUCGUUCCAAUCAAACCAUGAUGAAUCACUUUGUGAGAAGCUUUAUUUGGAUACAUAAAGUGGUGGAGAAUCACCAGGAAGUUUAAUAAAUCUCGUAGGAGUUUGGAUGAAGAAGUUAUCUCACUUUCAAAUCAGGUGAUUCCAGUUUCCUAGUUUGGGAAUAGCACAGCUUCUUCGUCGUUCCAAUCAAACCAGGAUGAAUCACUUUGUAAGAAGCUUGAUUUGGAUACAUAAUGUUGUGGAGAAUCAUCAGGAAGAUGAAUAAAUCUCAUAGGAGUUGGCAAGAAGAAGUUAUCCCACUUUCAAAUCAUGUGAUUCCAGUUUCCCAGUUUGGGAAUAGCACAGCUUCUUCGUCGUUCCAGUCAAACCAUGAUGAAUCACUUUGUGAGAAGCUUGAUUUGGAUACAUAAAGUGGU